CGGCAGUCUCGUUGUUAUAUGCCACGUGGCGGCUAAAAAAGUUCAAAUUUACAGGGGUCACACAAUUUUUCUCUAAAACAUUGGACAGUGGUUGUCUGGACGCAUUUUGAGGUUGCACAGUCUAGUGUUGGGCAGGGAUGAUGCCAUUACAAAAUGGGGUGACGGCUAGACGGCCUCAUGGCGGUGGAAACUGGGAUUGGUAGCCGGCAGCAGCUCUGACUGGACAAUGUGUACAUGUCUCUGGAUGGCGGCCGUCCAGAUCGAGAGUUGAGUUCGAAGGGACAGAAUUCCCCCCUUAUCCACGGGGGUUAGAGACCGGAGAUUCCACGAAUACGGAGAACCCUACUAUCCCCGCUGGCGUGCUCUUUAUCUCCGCUCCCCUCCUGUGGCAGAGAUUCACCCUAGCACUUUCUCCGGACACCAAAGUUUCAUACAAACGUCUUGAGUUGUUGGAGUUUUUGUGAUGAACCAGAAGUCACGUGACUGAAAAAAAAUCUGUAAAUACGUGAAAUGUGAAUAAGUGGGGGAACGCUGUAUAUAAAAAUCAGGCCAUGAUGACCACCAGACAUCCACCAUCUAUAUUCAUGAUCACGCCAACAAUUUAAAAAAGAAAAAAUCAGGGAGCAGCAGCAUAAAAUCUCCCAAUGCCUCCUUGUCACGCAGUUGCAAUUCUAUACGUGACCCUAACAUUAUCAAUAAAUCUAAAAAUUAAGUUUAUAUACAAUAAUUUCACUUUACAUUUAGAAUUAUGCAUAAAUAUGUUUAACUUUAGAGAUGAUAUGUUGGAUUUUUAAAGAAAAUUAUUACAAAGAGUGUGAUGUGAUUACCAAUAAGUACAAUGAAAUCUUUACUGAGUGUUUUCUGAAGUGAUAAUAUCAAAAAGUCAUGUUUGGCAAACAAUGACGUGACAACCAGUGCUUUAAAGAAAAGGUCAGAGCUCCUCACACCCAUGUGCUAACUCAUCUUCACUUUGGUGCUUGUGUCUGUUGCCGUGAUGUCAAGCUAAAGCAGGUAUUGCUGGAAUUAUUCAGUAUUCAUGAAUUUUCCGAACUCGCUUGAAGUCGACAGUAGGAAAAUAGCUCAAUGAAGCAUGGAGGAACACUGCAACCUGAUGCCAAGAUCUGACAUGGAAUCUAAUGUCAGAGAUGGAACUCAUCAUCUCUAGGCUAUUGCUGUCUGCUGUCAACAAGGGUUUUGAUCUUCCUGAGCUGGUGACUCAUGUGUCUAAUCUCUCCCUUCACUCUGUCCCUGUCAAAUCACUUGAAAGUCCCUGAAGAUCUUCUAUGCAGCAUGAAAAACGAAUGUAAUUCUUUAUUUCCUUUACAGGAUUUAUCUUAAAGCAUUUUAGGAAAUGUUAAGUUUUAAAAGCAUCUUUUAAGCAUUAAUGAACCAUAAGUAGAAAUUUGUUUUGUUAUACAAGUUGAAUAGAAUAUAAAAUAAUAAUAAUAUAGAAUAGAAUAAGUCUGUGAUAGCAAAGAAACUCUCAUACACCACAUCUGAUAUGAGGGAUCACAUUUGAAAAGCCCACUUGAUGCAGCAACGACAGCUGCCGUCUUAAAAAUCGACAUUGAUUUCCAUAAACAGGAUUAAUCAGACAGGAGGGUUUUUUUUUUUUUAGCACAGAACCACCAAGGACUCUCCACCAUGUUUCUCUUUGGUAAACCCCAUGAUCUCAAGGGUCAUGCCUUCACCCAACCGCCCCCAGUCUGUCUGAGAUUUAGUGUUGGAUGUUUUUGGAGUAUAGUUCUGACUUUUACAGAGAAAGUUAAGCUGGCUUGCAAAGAUUUACUGAUUUAUAACAUAUGUGUAAGGUCAGCAAAGAAUAUUUGACCGUCUGUCAACAGUUAAAGAAGUUGUUUCCUUAAGUUAGAGUUACUGAUGUGAUCCUGAAUACGAUGUUUCUUCCUUUUAGGAACCUUUUUGGCAGCCUGAGCUGAGCUGUGGUUCACAGCCUAAUGUGAGUCACAGAAGAGAGCACUUCAUCCUCUUCAGGUCUAAUCCAGCUCGCAGCUGUGCGACUCUGAAGAACGAGGCUGAACAUGAUCUUUUAGCCCAGGACACCUCUGUCUGUGUGACACCAAAUGCCUUUGAAAACCUAAGAAAGUGAAGUCAACACCACAAAUAACAUCAGUUCACGCUGAGAAGCCAAUCCCAGCUGCUUAACAAAUCUACCUAACAGUAAUUCAGCGUCCCUACUGAGACUGAGGAAUUCUGGGACAUUAAAGCUUCUCACAAAGUUAAAACGUAAAAAAACAGACUGAGAAGAAACGCUAUAACCUAAAUCUUUGGGGCAUCACGAAACACACUCAUAAGUUCCCACAAAGAUGGCUGAUCACCUGGAUCAAUAAAUCAAUCAUUUAAUUAUUAAAUUAGAAUGUAUUCAUAUCCUUUUCUCUCCACAUCAUUACUCUUACUUGUGGGAGUCGUUCUUAUCCAAUCUUCUUGUAAAAAAAAAAAAAAAAAAAAAAGAUUUAGUCACGGCACUGCUCUGUUGUUGUUGCUAGGUAACAUGUAGUUUCUUGCCAGCUGCAUCUCAGCUUGAUGAUGUUAAGCAGAAAAGUGUUUUGUAGUUGCUCUGCUUCCUGCUCAAAACAAGAGGGAACAGCAUGGAGCUUUUAGCUCCAACGCCUCCAUCUCCACCUGUGGAUCGUUCAAAGGAACAGUUGGCCAAACAGGAUGCUUUCCUACGGGUCUCUUCAGAGACAGAAGUGAUUCAAUGAAGGAACGGGUGACAGGCCAGAAUUCAAACUUCCACGAACAGCAGUGAGGAUUUACAACCUCAGCACACGCAGGAGGAUGAGGAGUUGUAAAGCAUAUCGAGGAGGAAUUAAGAGCCAAGUGAAAACAUGUGCACAAAGUUUGAACAAGUGCUGACGAUCAGGAAAAGCUGUGACGGAAAGUGGGUCAUUUAUGUCACUUUUGAUGACAAGCUGUGUGACACCCUGGUCACCCGGUGCCACUCUCUCCUUCCUCUGGAGAGACUGACACCAGAGCAGGGACACAGACUGUCACCCGCCUCAGCCCUCUUUUGGCCUUGUAAAACACUGCAAUAUGUGUGCAUGCUGCAGCGUCUCCAUUCCAUCAUUCAAACCACUUGCUACUUGGUGCUUCUCCAGCUCGGUAUGUGAGAAGCAAGAAGUGUGUUUAUGUGUGCUCUUUUUUUAAAACACUGAAAAAGAAGCUGGCCACACACUGACAGUCAUGAAUUUCCCCAAAGGACACGUUUUCAGACUGCAGAACUUUCAUAUUCCUCACUUACAGGCCAGUCUUUUCCUCCUGCAUUACAGAAUGUUUCUUAUGAUACGCUUACAUGCUUACACUAAACAGGCAUCCUUGAAUGCAGUGUUCAUACUGGAUUAUCCUUACCAAUACUAGCAGAAAUGCUCACUGUUGUCAGUGUGAAGUAUCGAAACAAUGUGAAUCUCACAAAUAUUGCUCCAACCUUUUUCUUUCACACCUCUAUUAUGAUAUAUAAAAGGCUUGGUAUCAGUUGCUGCCAGGCACAAACGGCAAAUUUUCAUUUUUUUAAGAAUUAAAUUGAGUCAGAGUAAAGUUGAAUAUGGCUGUGAGCACUCAGCACCACAAAAUGCACUUCGUUAUAUCCGAGUCAGAGACACCAAAACUUUAUCUUUGAUGAAAAAAUACUUCUUUUGUUUCAGAUGCCAACUUCAUUUGAUUCAAGACUUGUUUUAAUCCCAGAAACAAAUGAAAGAAAGAAGCUGCGUGAUUCAUUAAUGGUUUAAUACACUAUUUACUCUUUAUUUUAUUUUUUUUUGUUUGCAUAUAGCUUAAACACUUGAAGUUUAAAGCUAAUGAUGGUUAAGAUGUGUGUUUUACACCCAGUUUAUGUAAGACCCAAGUAGUCGAUUAAUUAAAGGACUAAUUGGUUCAUUCAUAAUUUAAAACAUUUAAAUAAUUAAAAAUAAAUAAUAAAAAAUAAUAAAAAAUGGUGAUUAGUUGAUUAUUAAAUUAAUCCUUUUUGGCAGUUGUAUUUAUUAGUUUAAGCGUUCUCAACUUUUUUGGUAAAAGAAAAUGUC